UCAAGCUACAAAGAGCGCAAGGGGAAUGCCUUGGCACUGGGAGCCGACGAAGGACGUAGCGAUCUACGAUAAGCCACGGUGAGCCGAAAGCAGGCAUCGACCCGUGGAUUUCCGAAUGGGGCAACCUGGCUGAAUAGAACUCAGUCAACAUACGGUGAAUAAAAUAGUCGUAUGUAGGGAACCGCCUGAACUGAAACAUCUAAGUAGGGCGAGGAAAAGAAAUCAACCGAGAUUCCGCAAGUAGUGGCGAGCGAACGCGGAAGAGGCCAAACCGAGAGUAGUAAUACUUUCGGGGUUCGGACAGCGGACGGUAUGCUGAAGGUUAGCAGAAGGACAUGGGACGGUCCACCAAAGAGAGUGAAAGUCUCGUAUGCGAAAACUGAAAGCAGCCAGCUGAAUCCAGAGUACCGCCGGACACGUGAAACCCGGUGGGAAUAUGGGGGGACCAUCCUCCAAGCCUAAAUACUACCCAGUGACCGAUAGCGUAUAGUACUGUGAAGGAAAGGUGAAAAGAACCCCGGGAGGGGAGUGAAAAGAACCUGAAACCUUGUGCUUACAAGCACACAAAGCACGUCAACGUGUGAUGUGGUACCUUUUGUAGAAUGGUCCGGCGAGUGAAUGUAACUGGCGAGGUUAAGUUCUUAAGGAACGGAGCCGAAGCGAAAGCGAGUCUGAAUAGGGCGUCUUAGUCAGUUGUAUUCGACCCGAAACCGGGUGACCUAUCCAUGUCCAGGAUGAAGUUAAGGUAAAACUUGAUGGAGGUCCGAACCCACGGUCGUUGAAAUGCCCGGGGAUGAGAUGUGGAUAGCGGAGAAAUUCCAAUCGAACCCGGAUAUAGCUGGUUCUCUCCGAAAUAGCUUUAGGGCUAGCCUCGACUGAACAUUACCGGAGGUAGAGCACUGAAUGGGCUAGGGGCCGAGAGGUUACUGAACCCUAUCAAACUUCAAAUGCCGGAAAAUGAUAGUCGGGAGUCAGACUGCGUGAGAUAAGUUUCGUAGUCGAAAGGGAAACAGCCCAGACCCACAGCUAAGGUCCCAAAGUACGGUUAAGUGGAAAAGGAUGUGGAGUUGCACAGACAACCAGGAUGUUGGCUUAGAAGCAGCCACUCAUUAAAAGAGUGCGUAAUAGCUCACUGGUCGAGUGACUCUGCGCCGAAAAUUUAACGGGGCUAAAUCGUACACCGAAGCUUGGGAUGUAUCUAUGAUACAUGGUAGGAGAGCGUUGAAUGCGGGGUGAAGUCAGAGCGAAAGCGCUGGUGGACUGCAUUGAAGUGAGAAUGCCGGAAUGAGUAGCGAGAUUUAUGUGAGAAUCAUAAAGGCCGAAAGACUAAGGUUUCAGAAGGAAGGUUCGUCCGCUUCUGGUUAGCCGGGAGCUAAGGUGAGGCCGAAAGGCGUAGCCGAUGCACAUACGGUGGAGAUUCCGUAGCCGUCGAAAUAUUUAAGCAAAGGGACACUUAUGAAGGACAUGACCCGGGCGAUGGUAGCCCCGGGCGUAAGGGACCGAAAACAAGUAGGGAAGCAUGUUUGGAUUAAGGCGAGAAAAGCUUUGUGUAUAUAUGAGACGUCCGUACCGCAAACCGACACAGGUAGUCAGGAAGAGGAUUCUAAGGCCAACGGGAGAAGGGUAGUUAAGGAACUCGGCAAAUUGACCCCGUAACUUCGGGAUAAGGGGCGGUGCGCAAGCACCCGCAGUGAAUAGGUCCAGGCGACUGUUUAUCAAAAACACAGCUCUCUGCUAAAUCGAAAGAUGACGUAUAGGGGGUGACACCUGCCCGGUGCUGGAAGGUUAAGAGGAGGAGUGCAAGCUCCGAAUUGAAGCCCCAGUAAACGGCGGCCGUAACUAUAACGGUCCUAAGGUAGCGAAAUUCCUUGUCGGGU
rnacentral:rRNA from 1 species